UGGUGCCCUGGGUUGGGUUUUUUAAGUACCAAUCUCAGGAGGGAAGGAGGAAUUUAUUUCAAGAGGAAUUUCUCCUUCUCAGGGAAACAAUUUCUUCUUUGUCUAUCGCAGCAUCCUGAGCUUGCUGAAGGACUGCACUGACCUGAGAGGAGGAGGGCGUGAGAUCUAAGGACAGCUUCAGCCCACAGGGGGCACAACAUUUCUCCCCCUAUCUCUAUUUUUAUGAUUCUUUAAGCAAGCAUUUUGCACCUGGCAGCUCUGAGAAACUCCGCGCUGCUCUGAGCUGCUGCUUCCUUGCAGGAUCGGGCAUUUAAUGAGCUCUCAGCAGCCUGAUCCCGUUAGCACUUGCUCAAGUAAAUAACUGGUGAUAUUGCUACACAGCCAAAAUUACUGGUCAAACUAAAGAUUAACUCCAGCCCUUCAGAGUGACCAUGAGUCUGCAGCUGAACUUUUCACAAGGUUCCUUAAAAAGAGCCAGGAGUGGAGAUGGCUGGAGAGGAUGCUUCACUGGGCAGUUGGGAGGAGCGUCCAUAUUGAAGAUUUUCACCACAGACAGAGUUUAUGUUCUGGAUCCAACAAACCCUUGGUUGCCAAUGAAUUCCCUCCCGGGUAAUCCCAUCAAGUCGCUCUGUGAAGGGUCAGCCCUAUAUGCACCUCAACUGCAGGUCAGCAACUCGCACACACAAUGCCCCUUAUACAUAUAUGCAAUUUAAAAGAUCGGACCCUUCACCAGAGCUUACUUCUAAGGGUUGGCUGUACAUGAAACUGAAGAAACCCACUUAAGGAACCAACUUUUUCCCCCUGGAAGCAAACAGGAGCACGUGGAGUCAUAGAACUCUAUCUGGCUAUCGACAUUGGACGCACAAAAGACACGUCAGUGUGGCAUUUCCUACCCCAUGAAGCCACUUUCCCCUCCAUGCCUGCUCUACAAAUACAAUAGAGCAUUGAUUGAAUCUUAAACUCACCAGACUUCAAUAAAUUCUGACCAUGUAAGAAAUUAAAGUCGAAGCGAGGGACACGCAGAGUGUUAGUCCUUCUCAAAAUAAUAAUUUAAUAACCCUCCAAAAAGUAUAGUGGUUUAGGAAAGGCAACCCAGAUGGGAACAUAUAAAAUAAAGCUAUAAAGUUUCCUUCAAAUGUAUUUUAAUCAUUGUUAAAUAUUUACAUUUAAUAAGCACUCGUUUUUAUUGCAAGAGAGAUGUAAUUACACUUAUCAUCCGUGGAAAAAUGGACUUUUAAUAGCCUGUACAUUGAUUUGCUA
ensembl:lncRNA